rnacentral:rRNA from 1 species
GACGUAGGGCGCGAGCGUUGUCCGGAUUUAUUGGGCGUAAAGAGCUCGUAGGCGGCUUGUCGCGUCGUUUCGUGAAAACCUGCAGCUCAACUGCAGGCUUGCGGUCGAUACGGGCAGGCUGGAGUUCGGUAGGGGAGACUGGAAUUCCUGGUGUAGCGGUGGAAUGCGCAGAUAUCAGGAGGAACACCAAUAGCGAAGGCAGCUCGCUGGGACGGUACUGACGCUAAGGCGCGAAAGCGUGGGGAGCGAACAGG